UGUUAAAUUAUUGAUCCAAUUUUCUAGAAACUUCAAUAUAAAUAUGAGCUAGAAAAUUCAAGAAAAACUCUAGAAGACUCUAUGGAAUUAUCUCUGAAAAUGGCAGAGACAUUUGCCUUAAAAAAGCCUAUUUUUCUAGAAAAAAAAUUGUAAAAGAAACUCCUAGAAGAUGGGCUAGGUCGGUGGAGUGUCCCUAUAAAUAGGGAAGGAGGGGGGAGCGUAAAAAGGCAGAGCAAAAGGUAAGCUCCUCCCCUUCCUUUGUACUUUGUACUACAACUAAAUAAAAAAAGCUUUCUUUUGUUGUUCCCUUGUGUUCCCUUGCUGCAAAUUAUUUUCUUACCCAUAUUGUUCUUUCCUUAGUCCUCUUGAAAGUUCACACACAAAACGCACUUGCACACACAUCAAACACACGCUUCCGCAAAUACCAACA
rnacentral:lncRNA from 1 species